rnacentral:rRNA from 1 species
AUUGAACGCUGGCGGCAAGCCUAACACAUGCAAGUCGAACGAGUGGCGGACGGGUGAGUAAUGUCUGGGAAACUGCCUGAUGGAGGGGGAUAACUACUGGAAACGGUAGCUAAUACCGCAUACCAUCGGAUGUGCCCCGAUGUGAUUAGCUAGUAGGUGGGGUAAAGGCUCACCUAGGCGACGAUCCCUAGCUGGUCUGAGAGGAUGACCGGCCGCCCUGGAACUGGGACACGGUCCAGACUCCUCCGGGAGGCAGCAGUGGGGAAUAUUGCACAAUGGGCGCAAGCCUGGUGUAGCCAUGCCGCGUGUAUGAAGAAGGCCUUCGGGUUGUAAAGUACUUUCAGCGGGGAGGCGUUACCCGCAGAAGAAGCACCGGCUAACUCCGUGCCAGCCGCCGCGGUAAUUC